CGGUUGUUAAGAAGCUGCAUUACUCUACGUGUCUUGUGUGCAUCAGGGUGAGGGAGGGACGUCUUGGUAAGGUAAAGCACCGUACCAUGAUAGGUGAGGGAGGGACGUCUUGGUAAGGUAAAGCACCGUACCAUGAUAGGUGAGGGAGGGACGUCUUGGUAAGGUAAAGCACCGUACCAUGAUAGGUGAGGGAGGGACGUCUUGGUAAGGUAAAGCACCGUACCAUGAUAG